rnacentral:tRNA from 4 species
CAGUGCGUAGGCCAGUCUGGUAGGCUACUUCACUUGGAAUGAAGAUGUCGCAGGUUCAAAUCCUGCCGCACUGACCA